rnacentral:tRNA from 1 species
GGGCCUGUAGUUCAAUCAGGAGAACCCUGGUCCUGCAAACCAGAGACGACGGAGCGUAACCGUCCGGGUCCA